AGGCAAGGCCAAGGCUUCUUGAAAGGCUGGUCAUGCCCCAGUGAUCAAUGAAGAACUCAGGGAUAUCCCAAAACUCAGGACUAUAAGGCACAAUGGGGGAGCAGGUACCAGGUGGCCAGCAUCCUAAAUGACUCUCAGCAGCUGCAGAGAAUGUAAAUAACAAGAGCUGCCUAUAAAUCUACCUCAGAAGACAAAGGGAAAAGCAAAACUCUGCCCAGGAAGACCUUACUUUACAAACCAGCUCAACCAUAUUUACCAGCCUUCCUGUGGUCAUUUGUCUGAGCUCCAGCUAGUGAAGUAUGAGUAGAACGGACAUGCACCACUUCCAGACCUGGCACCGGCAAACCCCCCAUGGCAACCCUCCAACCCUUUCCUCAACAACUGGACCACGCUGGAAAGGACUGAGGAUCUAGAGGAGGACAGGGCUGUAAUAUGGAAGGAGUUUGGUUUCUGAAGGACCAUGUAGCAGGCCACCUGCAGGGCGGGAACAUCUUUAAUAGGUUUGGAAUAGCAAGAAAUAAACUGGUCUUGUAUUAAACAACUA
rnacentral:lncRNA from 1 species